AUUGGCGCAUCCAUGACGACAAUGCUUUUCUCGCACUUGAUUCAGACUUUUUUGGCGAAUAACCAGACUCCUGUAGUUCGACAGGCUCCUUACUCUCCUGAUGUGUCCGCCUGCGACUUCUGGCUGUUUCCCAAAAUCAAGAGGCCAUUGAAAGAAGCGCGAUUUCAGACAAGAGAAGACAUUAUGGCUGCAACGACAGCUGAGCUAAACUCCGUUCGGAAAGAGGCCUUCUCGGAAUGCUUCUAACAAUGGCAGCACUGCUGGGAGAAGUGACUGGAGUCCCAAGCAGACUACUUUGAGGGUGAUUAGGUUUCCAACGCUCCAGUUAUGCCAGUUUUUUUUUUCUUCAGCCAAAGGUCAGAUACUUUUCUAACAGACCUCGUAUUGAUAGUUUAUGUGCAAUGGCUGUAUGGUUUACCUGACCCACACCAAACACAAGCCUCGUUGCGUUAGAGCAUGUGGCCCUUGGCAAUAAAAUGCAGACCCUAACACCGCUUCUCUGUCAUCUGUGUGGAGACAAAGCCAGCUUUGUCGUGCGCAUUCCCAGCCGGCAAGCUGUGCGCACAUCCGAGAAAAGUCGGUGUUGACAAAAUUUCAAAAAAGAAUUUCUCGCAUUUAAAAAUAAUGCCUUCUUUAACUUCACACAUGCAUAGCAGACAUGUAGAGCUAUCCAAUAAUGUAUCACAUAUUUUUUGGCCAACUACGAAAGCUGUUUUUUCCUUCAACAUAAAGCUUCUUGCAAAAGAUUAGAAUUUGUUUGUUUUUACAGGCGAUCAGCUGAACCUUCAAAGCUGCACAUAUUUUUUGCUAUACUAUGUCACCUGGGCUACCAUUCUGUACUUAAGUUCUGUCCUGUGAAUUUUUCGUUACGAAAAAAAAUCUAACGGAUUGCAAUUUGACAUAUUUUUGCCGGUGCCAAAAGCAAUUGAAGUAUUCAAAUAUUUGAAAAAUUGGCUAUUUUGGCAGUUGCAUCACUUCACCGUAUUUCCACGCACACCAUUUGAAGGCCUCGAUCAAUACAAUGUGCAUUUGAAAAAGAAUGUUGAUUGAUGUCCUCUAGCUCAGCUGAGCAGGAAAACUAAACUGUCACCAAAAUGCUACAAAAUAUCUGGCAAAAAUUAAUAAAAGUGGGUAACGAGUUUUGAACUCUAGUAAACACAUGGCAAUGUUUCAGCUAUAUGUGUUGUGUCAAAAAAACACUGGUCGAUUCGGCAUGGAAUCGCACACCUGCAAGUGCAUCUGUGCCAUUGUCAGAGUUCAGUAAAAACUGCAUUUUACAUAGCUUUGUAAACAUGGUUUAUUGUUAUCUAAAAUACAUGAGUAAAAAUUAAUAGGUAUAAGUCGGCUUAAAUUUAAAAUGCAACAAAAAAUCUCCGGUAAUGGCAAUGAUGUGCCUUUCAUGUUUGCAUGAAACCAUAUCUUUUUCUGAAUUCUUUCGUUAUUUUUUUUGUGUCAGUGAAUGAAAUUGAACUCACAAAAGGAGUAACUUUGUUUUAUUCCAGCACAUCACUAAUAGUUUUUUUUUUCAUAUAAAAAUCUGAAGUAGUUAAUAUGAAUAAGUCGCUUGAUAUGGAAUGACCUGCGCAGGAACGUUAUCAUGGCAGAAAACGCAACUGUAUCAUGCAACAGCAAUGCAGCAUAAUAAACUGCUCCCAUAAGCAUCACUUAUUGUGAUUGCCAUAUUUCAGAAGUAUGUAAGGUUUACUGAAAUUGGCACACACCAUUCAACCAACAAAUAAGGAUUGUACAGUGGUCCUUUUUCAGUUUUUAAAGUUGUCUGUGCCAGGUAGCAUAAUUUUUGUUCUUGAGCUGGAUUAUUCAGAGGUGGACAUUACUAGCACAAGAAAUGGAAAUAUUAAACUGAUUCUCAUAAAUUUAUUAAUUCACUUAAACAUAACGGCACAUAUUUCAGUUUGCAAAUUGUAGCCAGUGAGGUUGAAAGACAUAUUCACUUGAAAUUAAUUUCCAGGAUGACACCAGUUGCGAGAUUUUUUCAUAAAUGUGAGAGAAAUACAUGGGCAUUCCGGUUACUUUCGUGCUACAGCAGUGCAUUUCUACAGCCAGUUUGAUGGCAUGUGUCUCGUUACUGGUGUCAUUCUGGAAGUUCGUUCUUAGUGCAUACACCUUGUAAAAUUACAGUCUACAAUUCGUAAAAACUAUUAGGAACUGAGUUUUUCUUAAUCAGCUGACUAUGGUGUCUUGAUUUCUCAUGCAAGUAAUGUUUGGCACUCUAUAUCUAGAAUUAUGUUAGCUGCAACAGUCCGUGUUUAAUAAAUUCCAUGAAACUUAAAGAUAACCACCCUGCAUAUCAGGUCUCAUUUGAGUGCUGUGGGCUCAAGCAAAUCGUACCAUGGUAAUAGUACCCCUGGCUCCCUAAUAGAGAAAGCAAGUACCUUUUUUUAGUGUUCUUAUUGACAGUCAUGUCAGUCUGCUUCUACAUUUAUUUAUUUAGGUAUUUAUUUUUUUAAAUUUCUUUCUUUUGGGAAAUGUGUUUUACUUGAGGGCCACACAGACUACACCUUCAGUAUUCAAUUUUGUUAUGGUGUCAAGCUGCAGGAAGUUUGUACUGUGCAAUAGUUUUUAAGAAGUUUCUGAUGUUCUCAAACUACAAAUGGUUGUACAUUUACACAGAUGUUUGGUUACAAAUAAACAGUUCACCUAGAAAAA